AUCUGACAUGUGGACUUCCACUUUCCCCUUCAAUUGCAUCCUGACUUUUUGGGAUUUUGUCUUGCUUAAAGCUACUUACAAAGGUAAAAAAGCCAAAAGAAUCACAACACUGUUAAGGUGGACUGUGAUUCUACUGUACUUUGACCAUCCAGCCAUUUGUGUAGUUACUCUAGGUAUGUACAGCAUGCAGAUGCCACACUUAAAAGCCAUUCUAAUCUUCUGUCAUUUAAAUGUGAAUGUAAGUAGGAAUCUUUCUUCCAGUGUCAUAUGCAAAACAAUAGUGUUUCUUUUCAGUUUACAUGACAACAGACAGUUUUUGGUAUAAACUUCUGGCUGUGCUGAAAACUGACACCAGCUUCAAGCUUUGUAUGUCAUUUUAAAAUCAGAAUUUGAUUACGGAUGAUUUGGUUUCAUGAAAGUGGUUGUUGUGCAUCUCUCAAAGUUGAACCAUGGUAUAUUUGAUUACACUAUCCAUAAUUGUUUCAAGACUUACCUAAGGAAAAGUUUGCACAGAGAAUUUCCAAAGCUGACUUUCACUGGACUAUUGUAUACAGUAAAAUUUCCUAGUGCUACUGUCCUCACAGGUCAGCAUCACCCAUUCUAAGUAUUCAUUUCUUUGAAGUCUUAAUGCACAGAGACAUCUGAUGUGUCUUAGUACAGCAGGAGUUUCUUCAAGCUUGCAAUGAGACAGCUGUGAUCGCCCAGUACUGGAGAAGAGAGUUUACAGCAGGUGGAUCUCUGAUGAAGCGUGCCAACAAGUCCCCCUACCAGUGGCUGAGCAUACUCUGUGUUGCAAGUCCCAGCAAAACAAAAUAAAAAUACACUUAAAGGAA